GACGAACGCUGGUGGCGUGCCUAAUACAUGCAAGUAGAACGCUGAAGAGAGGAGCUUGCUCUUCUUGGAUGAGUUGCGAACGGGUGAGUAACGCGUAGGUAACCUGCCUUGUAGCGGGGGAUAACUAUUGGAAACGAUAGCUAAUACCGCAUAACAAUGGAUGACCCAUGUCAUUUAUUUGAAAGGGGCAAAUGCUCCACUACAAGAUGGACCUGCGUUGUAUUAGCUAGUAGGUGAGGUAACGGCUCACCUAGGCGACGAUACAUAGCCGACCUGAGAGGGUGAUCGGCCACACUGGGACUGAGACACGGCCCAGACUCCUACGGGAGGCAGCAGUAGGGAAUCUUCGGCAAUGGGGGCAACCCUGACCGAGCAACGCCGCGUGAGUGAAGAAGGUUUUCGGAUCGUAAAGCUCUGUUGUAAGUCAAGAACGAGUGUGAGAGUGGAAAGUUCACACUGUGACGGUAGCUUACCAGAAAGAGACGGCUAACUACGUG
rnacentral:rRNA from 1 species